rnacentral:tRNA from 1 species
GCCUGGGUGGCUUAGUCGGUUAAGCAUCUGACUUUGGCUCAGGUAAUGAUCUCAAGGUUCAUGAGUUCGAGCCCCAUGUCAGGCU